UAGGGAAUAUUAGUAAUGGGCGAAAGCCUGAACUAGCAACGCCGCGUGUGCGAAGAAGGCCUUCGGGUUGUAAAGCACUUUUUGAGAGGAUGAGGAAGGACGGUACUCUCAGAAUAAGUCUCGGCUAACUACGUGCCAGCAGCCGCGGCAACGCGUAGGAGGCAAACGUUAUCCGGAUUUACUGGGCGUAAAGCGCGUGUAGGUGGUUUGGUAAGUAGGGCGUGAAAGCUCCUGGCUCAACUGGGAGAGGCCGUUCUAAACUGCCGAACUAGAGGAUGGUAGAGGGAGGUGGAAUUCCGGGUGUAGCGGUGGAAUGCGCAGAUAUCCGGAGGAACACCAGUGGCGAAAGCAGCCCCCUGGACCAUUCCUGACACUCAGACGCGAAAGCUAGGGUAGCAAACGG
rnacentral:rRNA from 1 species